GGGGGUGACUGGCUUCGACAGGGAAUACGACGCGCAUAUGUGCGUGGCAGAGUUGGAACACCUCUUAAAACUGCUCCAAACAAAUAAGUGCGAACAAAGUAGCACGUGCAAUUCUUUCACCUAUCCAGAUGAAGGACUUGCAGCCCGCUUACGCAAUAGCCUAAGCGGCCGCCUUCCGACCUCAGCGCUUGAAUAGGGUCGGAUAGGCGUCACCAUCUUCAAGCACUGGCACGUACCGUCCGAUGCGUGCCUAAGAUAAGGACUAGGGCUUGCCGCGAUUCUGUACAUCUCUUACGCGGCUCGUCCGAAACAAACAAGAUGUGCUACGCCAUGUAGAAUCCUAUGCGUGUAAUUCUUUGGACGGGAGUUCGAUUCUCCCCACCUCCACCA
rnacentral:tmRNA from 1 species